rnacentral:misc_RNA from 1 species
UGGACUACAAGGGUUUCUAAUCCUGUUCGAUACCCACGCUUUCGUGCCUCAGCGUCAGACCGGAGCCGGUAGGCUGCCUUCGCAAUCGGAGUUCUGCGCGAUAUCUAUGCAUUUCACCGCUACACCGCGCAUUCCGCCUACUUCUCUCCGUCUCCAGCCACACAGUUUCAACGGCUCGCCGGGGUUGAGCCCCGGGCUUUUACCGCUGACUUACAUGGCCGCCUACGCACCCUUUAAACCCAAUAAAUCCGGAUAACGCUCGCAUCCUCCGUAUUACCGCGGCGGCUGGCACCG